rnacentral:lncRNA from 1 species
CUGCUUUGCUCAUGUUGGGUCCUCGCUCAGAAUGCCUCAUUCCCCUGUUUUCACCUCUUCAAAUCCCCCUCAGUUCCAAUAUCACUUCUGUCAGGAAGCCUUCCCGGUUUCUCCAGCUUGCUCCCCAGGCCGGCCAAACAUUCAUUUUCUUUUGAAACACACACGGGCUUCUGCCAACUGGGCAGAAACAAGAAAGCUUUCUAAUCUGCCGCGCGAUUCUCUCCUCCUUCAUCACCUGCUUGCGUCUCCCAGACUCCACGAUUCAGGAUCAAGUUAAAGAUUGUCCGGAAAAUCUGCUUUGACAUAAAAAUCAAUAAAAGAAAAGGAAGGAGGAAGGAUCUCAAGCUCCAGAUGAUCUCAUUCAGGGGUGAACACACAUGGCUUCCUCCUUUAAAGACAAUGGAAGGUGAGGACCUGAAGUGUUAAUUCAAUGAAAUUACAAUAAUGAUUGUGCCAGGAAAUCUCUGCCUGGGUAACGGCUGCGAAAAUGUGCUCAGACAACAGAUGAAAUCGCCAUAAACGUCUCCCCCUCCCCAACUCUUCCUGGAUUCGGAUAUUCUCUCUCUUGUUCCCAGGUCAGUUCAAUGAGCAUAACGUGGUUAGUGCCUCAUCAAAGGAUCUUGUAAAGCCUUGGUAAAUUUAUACCAGGUUUCUCUUGUCUACCAGAAUAAAGUAGAUAUAACAUUCAUAAUGGCAGGGACUUCUCAAAUUCCCCCUGCUUGUGUGGUUCUAUUUUCC